AGCCUCGAGGUGAUUUUCACAUUGAAUUGCAAAUUCAAGGGAGUAGUUUUAAUACCUACCGGGGCUU
rnacentral:tRNA from 1 species